rnacentral:rRNA from 1 species
CGGCAAAAGCUCAAAUUUGAAAUCUGGCUCUUUUAGGGUCCGAGUUGUAAUUUGUAGAAGAUGCUUUGGGUGUGGCUCCAGUCUAAGUUCUUUGGAAUAUUACAUCAUAGAGGGUGAGAAUCCCGUAUGUGACUGGCAGCUUUCGUCCGUGUAAAGCUCUUUC